rnacentral:rRNA from 1 species
UACGUAGGGUGCAAGCGUUGUCCGGAAUUAUUGGGCGUAAAGAGCUCGUAGGCGGUUCGUCGCGUCGGCUGUGAAAACCCGAGGCUCAACCUCGGGCCUGCAGUCGAUACGGGCGGACUGGAGUUCGGCAGGGGAGACUGGAAUUCCCGGUGUAGUGGUGAAAUGCGUAGAUAUCGGGAGGAACACCAGUGGCGAAGGCGGCUCUCUGGGCCCUACCUGACGCUGACGACGCGAAAGCGUGG